AGUAGUAUUAUGUUUAAGUGAAAUAAAUUGAUUGAAAAUGUUUUUAAAUUUUCCGUAGGGUUGUCUGAAUCACCAUUUUCUGAAGGUCAUUACAAUAGUGCUUGUUGAGCCUUCUUUUCAGAGAUCGUUACAUACAAUGGAAAAUCCAAAUAACAUGGAUACACAGGGGAACUCUAAACAAACUGCCUGUGAGGAAGUAAAAACAGUUGGUYAGUGUACAAAGCUUCUGUGGCAUUGUUUGUCUGUCAACCCUGACAGUACAAAUAGUAUUUAAUUUUAUUUUAUAGGUCUAUGUACAUAUCAAUCCCAUUUAAUAGUUGACCUAACUUUGAA